AGCCCAAACCAACAAGCUUGCUUGUUGGGGUUGUAGGACUGAACAUUAGAGUUACCAAAGUGCGACGUAGUCGCAACAGUUGGGAAGCUGUGCCAUAGAGGGUGAAAGCCCCGUAGACGAAACGUCACACUCUCUGUUCAGGAUCCUGAGUACGGCGGGACACGUGAAACCCCGUCGGAACCCGCGAGGACCAUCUCGCAAGGCUAAAUACUCCCUAGUGACCGAUAGUGAACCAGUACCGUGAGGGAAAGGUGAAAAGCACCCCGGAAGGGGAGUGAAAUAGUUCCUGAAACCAUGUGCCUACAAGCUGUCGGAGCCCGUUAAUGGGUGACGGCGUGCCUCUUGCAGAAUGAACCGGCGAGUUACGAUUGCAUGCAAGGUUAAGGUGGAAAAACCGGAGCCGUAGCGAAAGCGAGUCUUAAAUGGGCGUAAGAAGUAUGUAGUUGUAGACCCGAAACCAGGUGACCUACCCAUGUCCAGGUUGAAGGUGCGGUAAAGCGCACUGGAGGACCGAACCCGUGUCAGUUGAAAAUGGCUGGGAUGAGGUGUGGGUAGCGGUGAAAUUCCAAACGAACUUGGAGAUAGCUGGUUCUCUCCGAAAUCUCUUUAGGGGGAGCCUUGAGGUAAAGAAUCGUGGAGGUAGAGCUACUGUUUGGACAAGGGGCCCGUCAUGGGUUACCAACUUCAGAUAAACUCCGAAUGCCAUCGAUUUAUACUCAGGAGUCAGACGAUGAGUGAUAAGAUCCACCGUCGAAAGGGGAACAGCCCAGAUCACCAGUUAAGGUCCCUAAAUAUAUGCUAAGUGGAAAAGGAUGUGGAGUUGCAUAGACAACUAGGAUGUUGGCUUAGAAGCAGCCACCAUUUAAAGAGUGCGUAAUAGCUCACUAGUCGAGUGAUCCUGCGCCGAAAAUGUACCGGGGCUAAGCAUAUUACCGAAACUGUGGAUGUGCACUAUGUGCACGUGAUAGGAGAGCGUUCUAAGGGCGGCGAAGUCAGACCGUGAGGACUGGUGGAGCGCUUAGAAGUGAGAAUGCCGGUAUGAGUAGCGAAAGACAGGUGAGAAUCCUGUCCACCGAAUGACUAAGGUUUCCUGGGGAAGGCUCGUCCUCCCAGGGUAAGUCGGGACCUAAGCCGAGGCCGAGAGGCGUAGGCGAUGGAUAACAGGUUGAGAUUCCUGUACCAGUUAACUGCGUUUGACGAUGGAGGGACGCAGGAGGCUAAGCAAACCGUACGACUGGAAGAGUACGGUCAAGCAGUAAGUCAGGAUGUGAGUCAAAUGUUUACAUCCGCGUUGACAAGCUGUGAUGGGGAGC
rnacentral:rRNA from 2 species